CAUCUGCUAGAUUUUUAUUAAAGUAACAAAAAAAGGUGUACAUUUGUCCAUAAACCUGUACAUUCUUCCAUAUAAAACACUAUUAUACAAUUAGUAACCUUUGUCUUUUCUAUCAGAAUAGCUUACAAACUACUAUUAUUUAUUUUUACUUAAUAGGAGAGACAGGCCUGCUCAACAGUCCAGCUCUGGGUGUUUUGUUGAUUUUAAAGUGAACAUCAAAAAGAAGAGAGAAAAGAUUAAGCAUGAGACUAUGAGGCUGCUUAUAAUCUGCAGUGAUUCACAGCUUUGUUUCAACCCACAGGCCAGAAAAUUAGCUCUUGGGUCUGUGGGCCCAAAGUUACCUUUAAAGCAAUAAAGACUGGAAACAGGGGCUGGGAUGGUAGCUGGGGAUCUGGAACGUUGAAGAGGCAGAACUGGCAGGAAUGGGUAGGGAAAGUGUUUGGUAAAUAGCACCUUUGAAUCAGAACUGAGUAGUUAAGAAAUCCAGGAAAGGGGACUGGCAGUGGGGAGGAAGUUUUCUCCACAAGGGGCAAUGGCAGGAGGGUAGCCAGGUUGACCAGAUGUUCUAGCUCCAUCCUUCUUGAGAUGGUCUUGGGUUUGCGAUACUCAAGGCCUUCUGAGGACCCCUCACUAAUACCACUGAAAACCUGAAGGAAGAGGAUUUCUUCCCAGUGUAGUUUUGCAUUUUUCUGCAACCCAAAACAGUAAAUAUUGCACAAGUCUACAGACAAAUUUGGAUUGUACUGAGAGACGGCAACAUCUCCCACAGGUGCUCUGAGCACGGGGAAGAAAAAAACAAUGCCCAAGGUUUGGCUUUUAGUGUCAGCCCUACAAAAAUACCAAGUAGUCCUGCAGAACUUGGGGCAUUCUCCCAUUCGGCCAAGGAAUACUGCAAGGCUGAGGAUCCAGCCAUAGUCCCAAGGACAGAGGGAGAGAUGGUUCCCUAAGCCUGCCAAGGCACCAGAAGGUUGUAAGAGCCAGUUCUCCUCCAGACCCUCCUGGGACCCAAGAGGCCAUAUUGCACAGUGACUGAGAACUUUUGUCCUAGAAAACAGGGUAACUGCAUGACCCAACCAGGAGGGGAGAGGAGCAGGGAGAGUUAGAGAGGAGUGUUGUGCUUUUAAAAAGAAGGCAGUAAUCAAGGAUGUGGAGUUCCCUGUAACUUUUGAGCCACCUCUCCAAGGGAUAAUGGUAGCAUCGCCAGGACUUUCACGUAGUUCCAAAAAAAAAAAAAAAAAAAAUUACCACAUAUACACAUAGAGCAGCACAUAGCAAGGCAAAGAUUUCGUGCAGAGUACCCUUCUGUCCCAACUCCAAUAACCUGCAACCCCUGCCUCACUCCCCUGAACCCCCAAACAAAAAGCUUUAUAUUCUUGGUGGGUAGCAACAUCCAUAGGCCCCUGAGAAUAGAAUUAGAAAUAAGUCAUGAUUUUAAGAAAAACUGUUCAGGACAGAAGGAAUCAAGAGAGGCUUUUUCACUCUCUGCCUAGGAUCUCAUUAGAAAAAUAAAAGAGAAAGAUUAGGCAAUAUAGCAUAAUUUAAGUCCAGGUUUGAAUGCCCCUGAGUAAGAGAGGGGCUGGGGAUGCAGGUGUCCUGGUUAGAAGAGGGAGAGGUUAGAACUCAGCCUCUCUUCUCCAUCCAGGACAGAUCCUGACCUCUCUCAUUCACAGUUGCUAACCUUGCUUGCUCCUUCUCACAACUUCCUGGGGUGCUAGCCAAGCCUCUCCCCCAUCACCUUGACCAGACCCGCCCCCUGAACUUUCCCCCCUCCCAUAGGCAGACACUGGCUCCCAGACUCAAGCGCACAACGAUUCUCUCCAAAGGCACCUGGGGAGGCCACUUCCAAGCAGCUCCCUUUAAGGAUUUUUUUCUUAAAAAAAAUCUUUUGGUUUUUUUUUUUCUCCUCUUUUCUUAAAAAAAAAAAUAAUAUAUAUAUAAAUAGCUCUUCAUUUAAAAUACAGUUCCCCAGGUUGAGGUAUGCAAUGGCCUGUUGUCACGGCAGGCAGAAUGAGUACAGUAGAGUGCCAGGUGGGGGCCACAGGGGAUCUAACUGGAGACCGCCAUGACGUAGUUCUUCGAGGGGCUGCUCCUGCCCAGCAUCAUUUGGUUCUUGCAGGUGAGGAGCCCAUAGGAGGUGGCCACCGGGGCCUCCUCGUACAGGAC
rnacentral:lncRNA from 1 species